rnacentral:rRNA from 1 species
AACCUCCGCAAUGUGAGAAAUCGCGACGGGGGGAUCCCAAGUGCCAUUCUAACGGGAUGGCUUUUCAUUAGUGUAAAGAGCUUUUGGAAUAAGAGCUGGGCAAGACCGGUGCCAGCCGCCGCGGUAACACCGGCAGCUCUAGUGGUAACAAUUUUUAUUGGGCCUAAAGCGUCCGUAGCCGGUUUAAUAAGUCUCUGGUGAAAUCCUGCAGCUUAACUGUGGGAAUUGCUGGAGAUACUAUUAGACUUGAGACCGGGAGAGGUUAGAGGUACUCCCAGGGUAGAGGUGAAAUUCUGUAAUCCUGGGAGGACCGCCUGUUGCGAAGGCGUCUAACUGGAACGGUUCUGACGGUGAGGGACGAAAGUUAGGGGCGCGAACCGGAUUAGAUACCCGGGUAGUCCUAACUGUAACGAUGCGGACUUGGUGUUGGGUGGCUUUGAGCUGCUUCAGUGCCGAAGGGAAGCUGUUAAGUCCGCCGCCUGGGAAGUACGGUCGCAAGACUGAAACUUAAAGGAAUU